UUAAACCCUCUUGCAGAGUAAAUGAUACAGAAAUGCAACUUAGGCAGGGAUUUGUACUCAAACGAAUGAAAAUUUAAAUUGAAUCCAUGAGUUUCAUUGGCUCAGGAAAGACAGAGAAGCCAAGAGGCAAAGGGCUCCACCCUCUCUGGACCCUAAGGCCAAGUCCCUUCAGGAUGGGUCCCAGACAGUUUUCUCUGAACAUGUGCUUCCCAGACAUUCAAUUUCAUGGACUGGUAAAAUGACCAAAAACAUGAGAAUGCAUCUAGUACCAACGAUUUAUUUUGCCUAGUAAGGGCACCAAAGCAAGCGAAUCAAUUCCCUAUUUUUUUUUAUUUGCCUUCAUAUCAUAAUUAAGAAAGAAAUGUUUUAAUAGCAAAAAGAAAUUACGUUCAAGAACAUUUUGAUACCAAAAAUGUCAUGAAGUCAAAGAACACAGGAGACAGUCAUUCUUGUCUUUACAUAUGAAAAAUAAUACACCUUCUUUAUUUUAUUAUUUUUGUCAAAAACCAGUGCCACAGCCCAACUCUAUGAAACCACUGCUCUAAUAUAGUCUAACCCACUCAGAACUGAUAUUCUUUCAGACUCUUGGGUGAUCAGAAGAAAAACAACAACUCCAGUGUGUUCAAGUGUGUGGAAUAAUCCAGGGGUCAUCUCAAAGGAGGUUUGGAAACAUCCAUACAGUGUCUCAAUUCUUUUUUUUUUUUAAUAUAUUUUUUGGUGGAGUUGGACACAAUAUCUUUAUUUAUUUUUAUGUGGAGCAGAGGAUUGAACCCAGUGCCUCACACGUGUGAGGCAGGCGCAAUACCAAUGAACUACAGCCCCAGCCCAGUGUCUCAAUUCUUUCUAGCACAAAUAACCUAAAGACUGGGUAUGAGUCCAACCACACAACACAUACUACUUGCUGUGUGAACUUUGACAAGUAACAUAACUUCUCUAGACCUCAGUCUCUUCAUCUGUUAAACAGGGUGAAUAAUGCCUCCUCACCCUGGAGGAGCCUGAGAUUAUGAGUGAAAGCCUGGCUCAUAUUCAUGGCCAAUUCCUGGUUCCUGGGAGUUUCCCCUCCUCUGCUCCAGGGUGGCACACCUGCCUAUGUCUCAGGAGUGAGGCCUAUUUGUCUUACCAGGUAUUUGUGUUAUGGGCUUGGGUGAACAAAGAGCUGAGGAGAAACAGAGAGUCUAGUGGUGGGGAGCAGAGACUCAGCAGUAGCUCACUUGGAGCAAGAACCUGUGGACGUCAUUCUUCUGUUCCCUGAAUUAGGGCCCCAACCAUCUGCAUUGCCCUUGGCCACAGUAUUAAGAGGAGAACUUUAUGCUUCCCCCUUCAUGAAACAAAUCCUCUAGCCAUUUACAUUUUCUCAAUCCCUCAACUAGGAGUGAUCUCAAGAGUUCUUUGACCUUGUAUGGACCUGACACUGUUCCUCAGCCCCCUCCUUUCUCCUUUCUUCCAACCAGCUGUGAUCCCAUGAUCCACCAUUAUAGUGACAUUACUCCCACUCUGUCCUUGCCUCCAUCUCCCACUGGAGUGCUCACUCACCAAAUUUCUGAACGUUAUUAGAUACAACUCUCCAUAAAUGUUGAAUCUACAUCUGCACAAUCUCUUUUAAAAAUACUGUCUUGCCAAUGAUCUCACUAGAAUUUAUGGUCUCUGUCUUCAAGGGAGCUGGUAAUGCUGAUCAAAGAUCUGUUACAUGUCCCUGGCCCAGCCUACCCCAAACUGUCCUAGACAAACAUCUUCAUCAUUCCAAGGCCCUCCAGCCCCUCUCCCGGCAACCUCACAUCUUCCCCCUUUCUCCUAGGUGUCCAAACCUUCCCUUUACUCUCAGAUAAAGACCUCUCAUUCCAUCUCAAAGAGCAGAAGAAACCAGAAGAGAACCCCCACACACUCUCACCAACUCGUUCACUUUUCUGAGCCUGUGGCCAGACACUGUUUCUCUUCCUGCUUUGGUGGAUAAACUAUAUUUCAGCCUUCAGACUCUGGCUCCAGGAAGAUUCAAUAUCAAGUCCUGUUCCUGACACCAUGGCACAUAUGAUUUCCAACAGAAGACAGGAUUCGGGGACCAGCCUUAGACCACCAGCUGGUGAGAAUACUCACAAAUGUCCUUCUUUCUGAGCUCCCAGAAAACUCAAACUGAAGCUCUCUUUCUGCAUCAAAAAAAUAGCAAUUGAGGAUAUUGUUUCCUUCUUCAAUCAAAAUCCACAUCCUCAAGAAGAUGAUCAGCUAUGCAAUUAAUAAUACUUGAGGCAGAAAGUGGUUUGCCCUCCUCUUGUGACGUUCUCAUCCUGCAGAGCCCUUGUGGAAUUCAGUGUCUCUACCUAGCCUCUGAGGAAACUGCACCACCUACAAGGAUGAAUCUAAGACACUGUCUUUCUGGUUCCCUGGGAAGAGGUGUGUGUUACUCCACUGUGCAAAGGUCAGAAGAGCAAACACUUCAUUUGUCAGGAACCCAAAGAAGAUAACACCAAUGGUUUUUUAAAAUUAUUUUUCAUCAUAGCUCAGAGUCUCACUUUUGAUAUUUUUCUGAUUCAUAUGUACACACCCACACUUACAUAGAGAUUAGAUGAUGGUGAUAGACAUUUGCAUAUACUUUCAGAACAAUUAUGCAUGGAGGUGGAGAAACCCUUAAUACUGGACUCAUGGAGGAAUAUGGAAAAAGUGGAAAAGGUGGCUUUGUGUUCAGUCCCAUGAAAGGCCACCUGCUCUCUGACCUGCCAUGAUCUGCCUGGCAGGAAUGUUGCAGUUGGCUACCGUUGGAGGAACCUCUUGGACACACUGCCUCCAACAGCCAACAGCAAUGGGAAAUCAGCCCGAACUGGCAGCCAACUCCAUCCACCCCAAUGUUUAGCAAGUGAAUCCAGGAGUGGAAAUCUGCCAAUUUAAAUGGAGCAGUCCUCUGUGUGUGCUGUUCCCUUUGAAUGUCUGUAAAAUAAUCCUGACUUCACAUCUCUUAUAGCGUUGUGGUUGAUCUGGUAUGAUGGGAGAAUGGAGAGACAUAAGCAGCCAAUUCUGGAUGAAGAAAGCAUCUCAGUAGGUAACUGAAAAUCAAAGAUAAUGUUCCCAGCUGGUUUGGGGUUGAGGAGUAGUACCAGGAGAAGAACCACACAUCUCUGAUCUCAAAGGAGACCCAGAAGAUGAGCAGAUGGGUGUGAAAGAAUGAUCCUCACCAGCUGGGUGAUCCAUGUGUGGAAAAUUGGGAGUUAACUGUACUCACUCUUUGCCAAAUGGCAUUUGUUACAGCUACCCAGUAUCACAUGUGACCGACGAGACUUGCUAGAGUUUGUAAACAUCCUGGAAGGACAAUGAAAAAAGUCUCCAUUGGAGUUCUGUCUGUAUAUUCCUUAUAAAAGUAAAUGUUCUCUGAUUGGAGAGUUGGGGGAAGGAACAGGAAAAGAGAAGAACGGUGAAAUGAAACCAACCAAACUAUCCUACAUACAUAUAUGAAUAUACCUCAUGUAUAUCCUAUGUAUAUAUAUGAAUAUGCCUCUUUAUAUAUCUAUAAUGCACUCAUUUAAAAUAGAAACUAAGUAAAUAGAAGAAAGGCCAGUAUAAGAGAGGAAAGGGAACAGGGGGAGGGAGUAGGAAGGGAAGGGGGAAGUAUUCCGGAUUGAAUUGGAGUAAAUUAUAAUCCAUGCAUGUAUGAUUGUGUCGGAAUGAACACUGAUAUUAUGCAUAACAUAAUGCAUUAAUAAAAUAUUUUUUAAAGUGAA